rnacentral:rRNA from 1 species
CUUUCGCCAAUACUCACGGAAUCUCGGUUGAUUUCUUUUCCUAAAGGUACUAAGAUGUUUCAAUUCCCUUUGUGUGAAUCUUAAUGUGGUUUUCCACGAUGGGAAGCCAAAAAUGGUGACACAAAAAUGGGGGUGACGACUUUUUACUAAAAAAUUAGGACUCUGCUAAAUGGUAACAUGACGUAUAGGGUCUGACGUCUGCCCGGUGCUAGAAGUAUAAAAGGAGUGUUGAAAGAUACGAAUGGAAAGCCUAGUAAACGGCGGUUGUAACUAUAACAAUCAUAAAGUAGCGAAAUUCAUUGCCAGCUAAUUCCUGGCCUGCAUGAAAGACGUAACGAUUGCCCCACUGUCUCCAGUGUGGACUCAGUGAAAUUGAAUUCUCCGUGCAGAUGCGGAGUACGUGCCCCAAGACGAGAAGACCCUGUGCAUCUUUACUGUACAUUUACAUUGACAAAACCAUACGUAUGUGUAGGAUAGGUGGGAGUACAAACAUCCUUGAAAUACCACCCUUACUAUGUUUUUUGUCUAACAUCGGAGAUAGACAAUGUAUGUGAGGCAGUUUGACUGGGGCGGUCGCCUCCUAAAGAGUAACGGAGGCGUGCGAAGGUAAACUCAAUGUAGAUCGGAAACCUACUGAAGAGCGUAAUGGUAUAUGUUUGCCUGACUGCAAGAUUUACAGAUCGAGCAGAGACGAAAGUCGGUCAUAAUGAUCCACAAGUACUGCGUGGAAAGGCUUGUGCUUAACGAAUCAAAGAUACGCCAGGGAUAACAGGCUGAUAAUUCCCUAGAGUCCAUAUCGACGGAAUUGUUUGGCACCUCGAUGUUGACUGAUCAUAUCCUGGGGCUGAAGAAGGUCCCAAGGGUUCGGCUGUUCGCCGAGUAACAUGGUACCUGAGUUGAGUUUAGAACGUCGUGAGACAGUUUGGAUUCUACCUGGGGUGCGCGUAAGAAUUGAGAAAACCACAUCCUUGUACGAGAGGACCGGAUGUGUACAACCUCUGGUAUAGUAAUUGUCCGGCCACGGGCAUGGUUACUACGCUACGUUGUGAAAGGAUAAGUACUGAAAGCAUAUCAAGUACGAAACUUUUUUCAAGACAUAUUCUUUAUCGUAUUGUAUAUCGUACAAGUUGAGUACGUUAAUAGAUAAGCUGUGUAUUAUUUGUAAAAAUAGAAGCAUCCUUAUACUAAACUAUACAUUUUUUUUCUGU